UGCCAGCAGCCGCGGUAAUACCAGCACCCCGAGUGGUCGGGACGAUUAUUGGGCCUAAAGCAUCCGUAGCCGGUUCUACAAGUCUUCCGUUAAAUCCACCUGCUUAACAGAUGGGCUGCGGAGGAUACUAUAGAGCUAGGAGGCGGGAGAGGCAAGCGGUACUUAGUGGGUAGGGGUAAAAUCCGUUGAUCCAUUGAAGACCACCAGUGGCGAAGGCGGCUUGCCAGAACGCACUCGACGGUGAGGGAUGAAAGCUGGGGGAGCAAACCGGAUUAGAUA
rnacentral:rRNA from 1 species